CAUGUGUGUACGUUAAAUAUGAAGUUCCCUCGAGCAGACGUUAGCUUAGCUUAGCAUAAAGACUGGAAACGGCUAGCCUGACUCCGUCCAAAGGUAAACCUACCAGACAUGAGUGGUGAUGAUCUUUUUAUCCAAAAUGUCCAGAUAGAAAAUAAAAGUGUAUAUUUUGUCGGACCUUUCUGUGAUACAAGAGGAGAAUGCAACUGUAAUAACACUUCAUAAUAACUAUUAAUAAUUCAUAUAGUCCACUGGUUUAAUGAACUGGUUACUUUUUAUUCUUAAAACUGAUGUGUU